UUCCUUUUCGGAUUCUCCUCCAUUGCCGGCGAGAGCUCGCCGCGGCGGCCGCCGGCGCCGCUCUCCUCAACACCGGCGCCUGCCGACCACCCGCCGCCGCUCUUAUCAGCCUCAAGGCGCCCUCAGGGUCUCGCCGUCGCCGAGCGCUCGAGGAUGCUUUCUCUUUCUGCGCCCAUCCCCUCCUGCUCCGCAUCGACUCCAUCACACGGGGAGGCGAAUCAGACCAAGGCUGGAUUAUCCAUGGAGCUCGAUAACAGCCACAACAAUGAUAUGGAUCAUGAGGAUCGGCUCUCAAUGCUAACUGAUGACAUUUUACUGUCUAUCUUGGGGAGAGUGGACAUAAUCUCGGCUGUAAGGACAAGUGUCGUGUCAACACGCUGGAAACAUCUGCCUUGGUUGCUCCCUGAGUUCACCAUUGAUGUCAAGGAUUUUCUACCUGUCCCACAACCGAACCGCAUCAAGGUUGAACAUAUGGAUGAAGCAAUGGCAUCUCUAACCAAAGGGAUCAGGAGCUUAUUGACUAUAGCUCGGAGCGAAUUUCCCAUCAAUAGGUUUCAACUAAAGCUUUACCUGAUCAAUAAUUACUCACGUGUUGUCGGUCCUAUGCUUGAUAAGGCAAUUGAGGUUGGCAUUUUAAAAGAUAUGGACCUUUCUGUUCUGGACGAGGAGGAGAUUGUAGAUUGCACCGAUAAGCACAUUCUACAGCAAGCUUCAUCUGUGAAAGACCUUUUCAGUGGCUAUCCUAGUGUGCUUACUCGCCUCACAAGGCUCUCUCUUUACAAUCUAUGUUUUGCCCGUUGGGACUUGCACCAUCAUCUGUUUGAAUGCUGCAAUCAACUACGAUACCUGAGUCUAUCCAAUUGUGAUGUGGGGAAGAAUGCGAUAUGGAAAAUAAGUGCACCAAAUUCGAACAUCAUUGUUCUUGAACUUGAUGUAUGCUGCUUGGAGAAACUUGAGGUGCUCUGCCUUCCCAAAUUGGAGCGACUAAAUUGGGACACUUGGCUUUGCCCUUAUGCCCCGCUGUCAUUCGAUGUUGUCCCGAAUCUUCAGGAAGUAUCUCUUAUCUGCGGUGCAACAAAUAAACAUGAAGGAUUUAUUUUAAGUGAGGUUCCAAGUGGUACUACAAAUAUACAUACUCUAACAUUGGAUUUCCAAGGAGAAAAGCUAUGGAUAAAGCCAGAAGGAAAACAACUCUUCCGUGCAUUCAGCAAUCUAAGGAAGCUAUCUAUACAUAGCAUCUUUUCUGAAUUUGAAUUGUUAUGGACAACAAACCUCCUUGAAGCUGCACCAUCACUUGAGAUGUUUGAUAUUGAGAUAUGGGAGCACACAUGCGAUGUUGACCGGGAACCAAAAGUUUUUGGGGAGAGACCGAAUCCUGCAUGGAAAGCGCCUGAUGUUACAAGCUUCAGGAACUCUCUUCUGAAAGAGCUCCAAAUUGUUGCUUUUAGACCACUAAAACAACAGUUAGAGUUCAUCAGGGUUGUGAUGCAGCAAGCUCCCAACCUGGGGACGAUCAUUCUGAAAUACGACGAUCCUUGUGAAUACUGCGAAGCAUUAGGCAUUUUUCCACCUCGUUCUUCAACAGAAUGUGUAUUCCCUAAGAGCAAGGAUGAGCAAGAUAGGGUGAUCAAUCUUCUCAAAGAUGGGGUCUGCUCCCCUGCACAAAUAGUUUUUCGGUAAUUGGGGAGCUGUUCAAAAGUUCCAUGCUCUUUCCCUGCAGUAUUCUGAGCUUAUUAAGCGUAAAGAAAAGUUCCCUAUCCUCAUUAUUUUUUUAAUAUAAAAGGCCCUGCUUGUUUGAAAGAAGCCGACGAUGACGAUAUGCUCUCCAUGUUGAACGAUGAUAUUUCGUUGUCUAUCUUAGAAAGAGUUGAUAUAAAAACGGCCGUAAGGACAAUUGUCCUCUCAAAACGCUGGAAACGUCUCCCCUGGAUGCUUCCUGAGCUCUCAAUUGAUGUCAAGGAUUUCUUUCUGUACCACAGCCGAACCGUAUUGAAGGUCUCGAAUUAAAGCUUUACUUGAUCAAUAGUUA